AAACUGGAGAUGGCGACCGGCGCACGGGUGAGUAACACGUAUCCAACCUGCCGAUGACUCGGGGAUAGCCUUUCGAAAGAAAGAUUAAUACCCGAUGGCAUAGUUCUUCCGCAUGGUAGAACUAUUAAAGAAUUUCGGUCAUCGAUGGGGAUGCGUUCCAUUAGGUUGUUGGCGGGGUAACGGCCCACCAAGCCUUCGAUGGAUAGGGGUUCUGAGAGGAAGGUCCCCCACAUUGGAACUGAGACACGGUCCAAACUCCUACGGGAGGCAGCAUG
rnacentral:rRNA from 1 species